rnacentral:lncRNA from 1 species
CCAAGAACUACCCAAAUGCAAAUCCAAAUAGGUAACCAGAAAUUCAAGAUAACAAGCAUCUAUGAUUUUGCUAAGGUCAUCAAGAUGGACACAUGCCUAUGAUAUAUUGUAUUAAAAGUGUGUAGGUAACAAGGAUAGUCCCAAAGUUAUACUUGCCAUGAUCAAAGCUUUUCUGUUGUUUCUGCUGGUCGUCAAAAGAUUGGCCUUGAUCACCAUCGUAAUGUUCACCGUCUAAACUCGAUCAUCGAUCAUCAACACAC